rnacentral:RNase_P_RNA from 1 species
ACAGUAAACCGGCUUGUCGCUAGCUUUUUUGGCAACAAGGGAGCGAGAGGAAAGUCCGGGCAACACAGGGCAUCCCGCUUCCUAACGGAAAGAGAUUCGCAAGGGUCUGUAAAUGCAGAAGAAAAUAACCGCCCUCAUGACAGGGCAAGGGUGAGAAGGCAGGGUAAGAGCCUACCAGGUUGAUGGUGACAUCAAUGCUGUGCAUUCCGGGAGUUGAAAGUUCAUGUAAACCAGCGAACAAAAAGAAAGGUGGCCCGCCUGAGCUGGAGGGUAGAACGAUAGAGGCCUGUGGCGACACAGGUUGCAGAUAAAUGACAAGCGUCUUUUACUGGAAGGUGAAAGAUUACAGAACCCGGCUUACAAGUUUACUGUCUUU